UACGGAGGGGGCUAGCGUUGUUCGGAAUUACUGGGCGUAAAGCGCGCGUAGGCGGACCUGCAAGUCGGGGGUGAAAGCCCGAGGCUCAACCUCGGAACUGCCUUCGAUACUGCGGGUCUCGAGUCCGGGAGAGGUGAGUGGAAUUCCGUAGUGUAGAGGUGAAAUUCGUAGAUAUUGGGAAGAACACCGGUGGUGUAGACGG
rnacentral:rRNA from 1 species